CCUACUAUACCCGUAUCCCAUAAAUAAACUAGUGUAGCCUUGUUCCUAAAUUAUUUUACGAACAUGCUUUAAAUUAAGUAGUAGGUAUUCACGUCUAAAAACUAUUAUGCAGACGAGAUUAAAUUUUGGCGAUACAUAUUUGCUUCGUCCUCAAACUAUAUUGCAGAGGGUGGCAAUCUUGUUCUGUGAUUUGUUCUCUAACACGGUGUUUGUAAGUUUUUAU
rnacentral:lncRNA from 1 species